rnacentral:rRNA from 1 species
CGCCAGGGAACUACGAGCUCUAGCUUAAAACCCAAAGGACUUGACGGUGUCCCACCCAACUAGAGGAGCCUGUCCUAUAAUCGAUGGUCCCCGAUAUACCCAACCUUUUCUUGCUCAUCAGUCUGUAUACCUCCGUCGCAAAUCUACCAUAUGAAUGAUACAUAGUUCGGUUCAAUGAUCACUUCAUCAGAACGUCAGGUCAAGGUGCAACCUAUGAAAAGGCAAGUGAUGGGCUACAAUUUCUAACCUAGAACAAACGAAAUACUGCAUGAAACACAGGAACGAAGGAGGAUUUAGAAGUAAAGAGAAAAUAACGUGUUCUCUUUAACAUGGCCCUGGGACAUGUACACACCGCCCGUCGCCCUCUUCGAUACGAAUACUUCAGUUUUUAACCUAACAACAUAUGAGAGAAGAGGUAAGUCGUAACAUGGUAAGUGUACUGGAAAGUGCACUUGGAAUA